UUAGGGUUAAAACGCAGAAUGUGUACAGGGAUGUCGACAUUGCACAUUCAACUGAGAGAAAAAUGAUUGCACAAACGAGGCGUGAAGACUAGUGGGCUACAACACAAUCGCAAGCUAUAUGGCCGACGGAGAAUCAAAAAUUCACCGGCGUACGUCUAUUGAAGCGACGAGUAGAAUCCCCAAGAAGUAGAAAUUCACUAACAAUCAGCAAGCUCAACCAAGUGGGCCGAAUCCCGAUGAUGAUUUUGAGUCCCCUCCAGUCCAAGUAGCAAGAACACAAGGGAACAAAACUAUUUCACGGCACGGCAGCAGAAUGGAUGAAAGGCAGCGCAGUUGGUUAUUGAGACAAUGAAAUGUGCGGAACGUUUGAUUUUUUGGACAUGUCUUUUUUUUUUUUUUUUUUUUUUUUUUAAAGUUUUGACCGUGGUGGUAUGAGAUAAUUGGUCUGUGUGUGGUGAUUAGUGAGCCACGUGACAUUGACAACCAACUUAUUUUUUUUGUUGUGUUUGAAUAUGCAUUUUGAAUAGAAUUUGAAGAAGCCACCGGACAGUGGCAUAUUGUUAAACACAUAAAUAUUAAUGGUAGGAAUGUAACUGCUCAGCUUUAGAUGGUA